AACGAACGCUGGCGGCGUGCCUAACACAUGCAAGUCGAACGAGAUCUUCGGGUCUAGUGGCGCACGGGUGCGUAACGCGUGGGAAUCUGCCCUUUGGUUCGGAAUAACAGUUGGAAACGACUGCUAAUACCGGAUGAUGACGAAAGUCCAAAGAUUUAUCGCCAGAGGAUGAGCCCGCGUAGGAUUAGCUAGUUGGUGUGGUAAAGGCGCACCAAGGCGACGAUCCUUAGCUGGUCUGAGAGGAUGAUCAGCCACACUGGGACUGAGACACGGCCCAGAGUACUACGGGAGGCAGCAGUGGGGAAUAUUGGACAAUGGGCGAAAGCCUGAUCCAGCAAUGCCGCGUGAGUGAUGAAGGCCUUAGGGUUGUAAAGCUCUUUUACACGGGAUGAUAAUGACAGUACCGGGAGAAUAAGCUCCGGCUAACUCCGUGCCAGCCGCCGCCGUAA
rnacentral:rRNA from 1 species